rnacentral:rRNA from 1 species
AUGCCGUCCGCCUCCAGCGCCGUCCCACCCGCCGCGGCGCCGGGAGACGAGUCCCAAUCCCAGAAGGUCCUCCUCGGGAGGUACGAGCUGGGCGGGCUCCUCGGCCGCGGGGCGUCCGCCAAGGUGUACCGGGCCAGGGACCUCCUCACGGGCCGGGACGUGGCCAUCAAGUCCUUCCCCAACCCGCGCGCCGGCGGGCGCGACGGCGAGGGCUCGGCCGGGACCGCCGCCAUUGAGCGGGAGGCGGCCAUCCUCGCCCGCCUGCGCCACCGCCACGUCGUGAGGCUGCACGAGAUUCUCGGGACCCGCAAGAAGGUCCACUUCGUCCUCGACCUCGCCACCGGCGGCGAGCUCUUCUCGCUCGUCGACUCCGACGGCUGCAUGACGGAGGACCUCGCGCGGUAUUACUUCCGCCAGCUCGUGUCCGCCGUCCGCUACUGCCACUCCCGCGGCGUCUACCACCGCGACAUCAAGCCGGAGAAUUUGCUGCUCGACGGCGACGGCGACCUCAAGGUCGCCGACUUCGGCCUCGGCGCCGUCGCGGACGAGAGCCUCCACCACACCCUCUGCGGCACCCCGGCCUACGUCGCGCCGGAGAUUCUCUCGAAGCAGGGGUACCACCCGGCCAAGGUCGACAUCUGGUCCUGCGGCGUGGUGCUCUUCGUCCUCGCCGCCGGCUACCUCCCCUUCAACGACGCCAGCCUCAUCAACAUGUACCGCAAGAUCUACGCCGGCCGGUUCCGGUGCCCGUACUGGUUCUCGCCGGCGCUGCGCCACCUGCUGCGCCGCAUCCUCGACCCCAACCCGGCCACGCGCAUCGACACGGACGGCAUCCUGGAGCACCCCUGGUUCCGCCACGGCGCGAGCGGCGACGGCGAGCUGGAGAAGCUGAUGCGCGGCCACGAGGAGGAGGCGUGGUUCAAGACGGAGUUCAAGGAGGACAUGGCCCGCGACAUGACCGCGUUCGACAUCCUGGCCUUCUCGCCCGGCUCGGACCUCUCCGGGCUGUUCGUCGCCGGGCCGGGCACGGAGCGGGUGUUCGUGGGCGAGCCCGCCGCGGCCGUGCUGGCCCGGGUCGAGGACGCCGGGAAGAAACAGGGCUACGGCGUGAGGAGGGAAGGGAAGGGCCGCGCCGGGCCGGUGUACGUGGAGGCGGAGGCCGGCGGCAUUGUCGCCAAGGUGACCGUGUUCCGGAUCGCCGACGCGGUGUCGGUGGUGGAGGUCGUCAAGGGCCACGGCGCGGAGGCCGCGGCGUUCUGGAGCGACUGGCUCGAGCCGGCCGUGAAGCCUCAGGCAGUGUGA